rnacentral:rRNA from 1 species
GAUGAACGCUGGCGGCGUGCCUAAUACAUGCAAGUCGAACGCACAGACGAGGAGCUUGCUCUUCUUAGGUUAGCGGCGGACGGGUGAGUAACACGUAGAUAACCUACCUAUUAGACGGGGAUAACUACGGGAAACCAGAGCUAAUACCGCAUAAUAUAUUGAACCGCAUGGUUCAAUAGUGAAAGGCGCUUUUGCUGCACCAUAUAGAUGAACCCGCUCGUCAUUAGCUGGUUGGUAAGGUACCGGCUCACCAAGGCAACGAUGCGUAGCCGACCUGAGAGGGGGAUCGGCCACACUGGAACGGAGACACGGUCAAGACUCCUACGGGAGGCAGCAGUGGGGAAUCUUGGGCAAUGGGCGAAAGCCUGACGAAGCAAGCCCGCGUGAGUGAUGAAGGUCUUCGGAUCGUAAAGCCCUUUUAUUGGGGAAGAACAAAUGUAUAAUUAAAAGUUCACGUUGUGACGGUACCUAAACAGAAAGCAACGGCUAACUACGUG